GACGUAGGGCGCAAGCGUUGUCCGGAUUUAUUGGGCGUAAAGAGCUCGUAGGCGGCUUGCCACGUCUGCCGUGAAAACCAGCAGCUUAACUGUUGGCUUGCGGUUGAUACGGGUUGGCUGGAGUUCGGUAGGGGAGACUGGAAUUCCGGGUGUAGCGGUGGAAUGCGUAGAGAUCCGGAAGAACACCGGUGGCGAAGGCGGCCUGCUGGGCAGUGGCUGACGCUGAGGCGCGACAGCGUGGGGAGCGAACAGG
rnacentral:rRNA from 1 species